GCUGGAUUCUGCGCUGGGGGCUGCAUACAGGCUGGCAGUGAGAUGCUGGACAGCAGCCCCACUGAAAGGGAUGGGGGCUCUGGCUGACACCUCGUCAAAACGAUGAAGUAGCAGGAAUCUCCUCAGAGAGCAAUGUAUCACAACAUUUUUGAAGAAGAUUUCCAAAUCGAAGAUGACUUCCAAAGAACAGCAAGGAUGUAAUCUUGGAGCCAAUCAAACCAAUGGCAAAAAUCCCACUUUCUGCAUGAUCUUCUUAAUGGAGCUUCUGAAAUUUCGGAGCUUCAUAUAUUAUGGUUAAAAGGUACUGUCCAAAUUCAGCAUCUGUGAGCCUUACAGAGGCAUGACCCUAAGAAGAAGUGAUGAAAAAUGCCUAUUUUAAAAACAAAUAACCCUAUUUAUAAUGACACCGAAGGGAAAGUGGGGAAUUCAGUAUAUAAUACUUAAUACUGACACCUGCCACUUGCAAAAUCUCUCCACUGCUCGAAACAUGUAUUUGUGAGAGUUUGGAAAAUUUUGAUCACUCGUUUUUUCCUCCUUUGUUUCCAUUUUGCUCACUGGUAGGGCUGUCCAAUAACAGCACUGACGUUGCUGAAAUGUCAUGAUGAACUUUGCUCAUGUACUAGUUCCAGGUGAGAUGGGAGUAGUUACAAUUCUUAACAAAAAAAACCCGAAAGAAGUAUUUGCCAGUGUUUUUGGAUAUAGUUGUUAUGUCCCAGGCACAGAGAUUAGUCAGAGCAUCCAUAAAUAUCACUGUCAUUGAAAUCUGAUAUCCAAACCCUUCACUCCAAAUGCCCACCAGCUGUGAAAACCCUGCUGAGCUUUGGCCACUGGGCUGUAAACUCCUUCUGGGUUUUGCUCCGUGCCUGGCACAAUGGCUGGGGGUCCCUGCCAGAGCAGUAGGGUGAGCAUUUCAGAAGGGGAAGCAAAAGGCACAUCCUACACAGUGGAUUGCCUGGUGGGAAAAAGCUCCCACUGUGUAUCAUAUUGCACAGUCCAUCUCCCAGGCUUCAUUCCUGUUCUUAGCUUCUGGUCACCGCAGUAGAGGAGGGUCAGUGUAGAAGGUUACGGAGCAGCUGUGGAGGCUGGUGUGCCAGCCAGUAGAAGUAUCAUAAAUGGUCAGGUUAAAUUUUACUCUUUCUUGAGUACUUCUGUUAGAAACUGAGCUAAAUAGUGUCUUGGUCCCAACACAUAUAGAAGUUUUGAUGCUAUCACAUAAAGAAAAUUCAGUUUCUCUGAGAAAACUUGAGACAAAAGAGCCAACCCAAAAUAUUUAUCAUUUUACACUAAAUUAAUGCAAACAAAAACAAUGCUCUUUACAGUAAAUUUAUUGCUGAGUUUUACUAGAAUUAACUGAUAUUCCUACUUGACUAAUAUCUAGCUGGUAGGCUUGGUGAGGGUUUUUUCCAUAAAUGAAUUUUGGUGAAGGAGAAGGUGUUCUUCAAUGGAUUAAAAUAUUUUGCAUCCAGAAAUGUUCUGUUUCAUUGAAAGGUUUAGAGUUUUCAGUAGGAAAAAAGUUAAGAACAGCAGCUGAAUUAUUUUGAGUAAGAAUUUUCUUCAGUAUUCCAUUCACCCAUCACCUCAGAACACUACAGAAGUAGCGUAUUAACUGAAGCAACAAAAUCCAUCCAUAUCAUCAACAGUUUUCCUAAGGGAGAGAAGUAGACCUUAGUUACUUCCAUCAUUUACCACUUCUGCGUAUAGCUGGCUUUAAUCCAGCUCUGAAUUCCACAGGUGGCUGUUCUGCACCAUCCCAGAACCACAUGGGUCUGAACUCUGAGUUGAAUCCAUACAUAGAGCAGACUGUAUCAACACAACACUAUGUAUUAGUAAUAACAAUAUGUUUAGAGCCUAUUGGAACCUAUAUAAACUCCAAAUUAGCUCAGCUGAGCUGGAAAUACCACCAGCAGUGAUUGUCUUAGAGAGUGUAGCAGAAAUAUGAACUCGUGGCCUGAACCAGUGAUUGAGCACCUGUAGGAAGGCAGGGCCAACCCAGGGGAGCUCAGGUGCAUGCAAUGAUCCUAAGUGACUGGAGGGAGUGGAGCCAGUAUCCACCCCUUCCCAGACCUGAUUUAAGGGUUGGCAGUGGAGGUAAGAGGGUCUUGCUGGAGAUCUCUGCUUACUGGGUGUCCUUCAAAGGUAAGUAGUUUUUUUUUCCUUUGUGUCUGUGGCUGCUGCAUUUGGGCUUGUUCUUAUUUGCUGUAGCCUAGGAUUGUGCCACUCUACUAUUACUGCUGUGCUUAGGGGACCUGAAUGAAGGGCUCAGGGACGGCAGACCCAGUGCCCUGAAGAUGCUACAGGUAAUAUGGCUCUUAUCCAAAUUUUGGGCACUGAUAAUCAGGUAAGACCCCAAAUUGCAAUGAAAAUAAUCUUCUGCUCUCUGUAAAUUUAGAACCUGGUUCCCAUAAAAUAGAGUGCACCUUUGAAGGUGCAAGUAGUACCAAAAUGGUGUGGCCUACUUGUACCUUGGGGGAGACUACUGGAAGCUGGCGGAUUGGUAGUCUCCCCAGUAUGUGGCCAGUGGAUAUCAUGGUUAACACUCUGGUUUGCACUGUAAAGGGAACCUUAAUCAUGUCCGUAUGGCAGAUGUGUCCCCCCUCCCAACUUUGAUACCUGAUAUAGUUAUGCUGCUUUAGAUAUUGGGCCAAAGGGUGUGGUACAGGUGGUUGGAUAUACCCAAGUGCAAGCCAAAAUGUUGACCCAGGAUAAGAACGUAGCCUAUAUCUUGCUGUGAAGGGCUGACCUACUCUUUCUGGUAUCUCUAAAACAUCUAUGCUACUUCCUCUGAGUCUCUUUAAGUCCACAGGACCGUUAGAAGGAGCAACGUGACAUCAAGAUGCUCCAGUGUCACUGUAAGAUCAGCAUGACACCCUGUGGACUAUAUGAGACUGAUGGAAUGCGAGCCAAACCUUCUCUGGUCCAAGCAACUAGGUGCCUCCAGGAGAACCACAAAGGAAUGUGAAUCUCAAUCAAGAACCAGUCAUCAAUUGUCUUAUAUUUUGUCCAUCUAUAUUGUGAUGGGCAAAUUGUACAAAGCAUUGCUUACCUUCAAUCUGCUCAAUCAUCGCUUCACACCAUGAGGGGGUGAAGUGCAGGGGAAAUGUUAACUCAUGGCCUGAACCAGUGAUUGAGCACCUGGUAGGAAGGCAGGGCCAACCCAGGGGAGCUCAGGUGCAUGCAAUGCUCCUAAAUUACUGGAAGGAGGGGAGCUGGAUCCACCCCCUCCCAGACCUCAUUUAAGGGUUGGUAGUGGAGAUCCCUGCCUAUGGAGGCCUCCUAAAGGUAAGCAGUUUUUCUUCCUUUGUUUCUGUGUCUGUGGCUGCUGCAUUUGGGCUUGUUCUUAUUGGCUGCAGCCUAAGAUUGUGCCACUUUGCUAUUAUUGCUGUACUUUCCUUCACAUUAUAACAUUACAGCAUCACAAAGAGAAGCUGAGUAAGACACAGUGCAGUCAGAUGCAGGCAGGGCCAACACAGGAGAAAGUCUGCUGUCUGUGCAAAACUGAAAGUAGCUCAGCAUAUUGGGCUAAAGCAAAGUCCAGCUGAAUGGCACCAUUUAAUGCUCAAAGGAGAGCCCAAGUGCCAGCUGGUGCCAGGAGCUAAGGAGUACCCAUGGGGAAGGGUACAAAGGUGGCACUGAUGCACAGCACUUGGCUUAACUCCCUCAAAGGUUGCAGCUGAGUCUCUGUUAAUUUUUCCUUAACACAACAGUAUUGAGAAUUAUGCCAAGCUACUCAACAGCAAUGCCUCCUUCUCAUUGACCUUUCAUGAGGAAAAUAUCAGUAUUUGACAUCCCAGGCAUAAGUGAAGACAAACAAAGGCACAGUUAGUUCUGUUAUAAGCUUGAGAACUUUGUGUACUAAGGUCCUCAUCCUCCAAAGCAUUUGGGGUUGUAUGAUUCAUGUAACUGAUGGACAAGUCUGCAAGUUUUGUCUAAGUAGAGGCAAGAAUGAAACCCAGGUCUGUGAUAUGUCCUGUGCUCAGUGAUGAGAGCCAUCUCAUUACUCUAUAUCCACCUGGAUAUAGAAGUAUCUGGUAUAAAAGUGUCAUCUGAAUUUGAAACUGUUACUUACAAUGCUACAAGGGGAAAUUCUUAUUUAUUACAGUUUUGUUAUCAGUAUUCUUGCGGAGCUGAAUUUCCUGUGCAGACAUGCAGCAACCUGGUUCAUCACACAACCAAACCUUCAGCAUGGGGAAGUUAUUCUCAUUCACCUCUGUUUAUUUUCCAGCUCUUGUCCUAUCAGCCCAAGUGGAUCAAGGUGGGAGGAGGCGAAGCAAUUGGAACAGGCAGUUUUUAAGGCUGCAUUGAGUAUAAGAGCUUUUCCUACCUAGCUGCAUAUAUUCAGUUACAGGACAAUGAUCGGAGGAGGGAAGGAAACCAAGCAACAUGUACUGAAGAUUUUAAGGCCUACAUCCUAUGGAAACUCUUGGGACAGAUGAAAUCCUCCAACUAUCUUCUUUAUCUUCUUUAGCACUUAGCCUCUAAAACUUGGUGGAAAUUCAGAAGUCUUGAAGUGGCCAUUGCAGUCUUGAGUAAGGUGACGUCCUUUUUACAACUAGCAUUUGGCUGUAGGUUCCACAGCGGCUCUUUUGUUUAAAUGCUCACUCCUCGCUAAGGAUUACUGACUGAAGCCCUUCAUUCUUGACAUCACCCAGUUUCUCCCUGCUGACCAGCUGUGUGUGGAGCAGCAUACUCAGAAGAUGGCUACUCAGGGGUCAGUGCAGCCAGCCAGCUGCUUAUCCUUGCAUGGGACAUCCACCUGCUCCUUGCUAAAGCAGUGCCUGGGUGACCCACCUGCUAACCCAGAGGGACAGCUCUGAGGCCUAGCAGUUGCACAGGUACCUGCCUCCCCAUAGCUACACAGGGCACAUCUCUGACUUCCCCUCCCUCUUCUUUCAGUCCACUUUCAGUCCCCACUCACUUGCUCCAUCAAACACAGCCUGUGUGAAAUUAGGCCCAGCAGGAGCACAUUUUGAGGAGUGCACAGCUUCUAUUUACACAUAAAAAAAGAACUUUACAGCACCAGGCACUUAGAUGUCCUUCACACCUUCACCUUUCUAAGGAAUACCCUUUCUGAGCCAUCCUGUGCUAACCUGGACAUUAGAAUGGAAUGUAGACAAACAUACAUAGCAACUCAUCCCCUCUGAUUUACCCAAAAUACCUUAAUUUCUUUGUGUUUACCUGCAUUACUUUGAUCCAAGCAUUCAUUUCUUAGGCAGAAACUUUUUUUUUUUUUUUAAAUAUAUACAAUGUCUAUUUUUUUUUCCUUAUAAAAAAAUUUCUAAUAUACUUCUCCCAACCUAUGGCUGUGUGAGAAAAGAUUCAUAGCAGUAAGGUAUCCUCAGGUUUCCUAAACACCUAGAAGUUUAGUAUGGUCUUAUUCUUCUAAAACACAAACUCUGUCAGCUAAAACACCACCACCCUACUCCCAACAUUAGAACACAGCUAUCUUUCUAUGAAGACCACACAAAACUCCUGCAGACAUGACCAAUCAUUAGUUCUGCUUGAUGAUCAGACCUACUCACCUGUCAGCCUAGCUGGCUUGCUGCUAGAAAUGCUGCUUCUCUGAUGGCCCAAACAGAGGCUUCAAAUGAAAGAGAUAAUGAGAAUUUGGCACAUUACUCUGAAAAGUUGCAAUACAACAUUGGGGCUUCUUGGCACAAGUCACUGGUUUCAGCACCAGAGAGACUGCUACGUCUGUAAGUUCUGGCCUAUUUCCCUCACACUGCCCUAUGAGCUCCUCUAGCAAGCUCCACCUUAAGGAAAUUGUGUUUGUAAUCACCAGUAUCACCAGUACUUCGUAAUCACCAGUACUUAGCAAACCUUUUUCUAAUUCCAGCUUAUGUCCAUCCACAGCAGUUUGUAUCACCAUUUUUGUACCAGCGCAUCCCUUUGCCUAGAGAGCUCUUCUCAACUUUUCUUCCUUAAUUUUUAGCUAUGACAUAUUUAUAGGCAGGAAUUCUGGUUACUGCCUUUCUCAGCUAACCUCUCCCAGUGUCCCCUCUGUUGGCAGGCCCUGCUGUCCUUAUCCACCUGUUUCUGUUAUUGCUCCUGCAUCAGCUCACUUAUUUUGUUUCUUAGUGAGCAAAAACGUGCACAACAUCGAAGCUGAACUCUCAUCUGUGCCUGGUGCACUGUCCCUGUCUGAUUUGUCCCCUAAGACUGCAUUUCCCUUUUCAUGGCUACAGCAUAGUUGUGGCUCAAAGUCACCCUGUGAUUAGAGUACACCCAAGUCUUCUUCCUCCCCAAGCUGCUUUAAGUGCAUAGCUCAUUACCAAAUGUUUUCUUAGUAACAAUACCCAGCUCUGCGGUGAUCUGCAUGAGCUAUGGGUCUGGGCCCCCUUCUCUAGAAGAGCCAGACUUUGCCAGCUGACACCAGCUGCAGAACCAGUUCUCAGUAUUCAGUGCACUUGGGGAGAAAGAAACAAGUAGUAAACUAAAGACAAAUGGAGCUACAUCACAGUCAAACAUAUUGUAACACUACCAACCAAGACAGCUGCUUCUGCCAACAUGGAAACAAGAUAGGAACUAGAGUGUUUCUAUUUUUGCAUUAAAAUAGAAACAGGGAUGGAGAGGACUUGGGGAAUUUAUCAAACCAAAUAAAUAUUUUUCAUUUUAAAAUUUGAAUGGAAUGGAAAUUAUAAUCUUCCACUGUUACCAUGGAGCUGAAUAUUGUCCUUCCCCUCACUCAGCCUUUAGCAGUAAGGAGUUGGUUGCAGCAGGGCUGGAGGUUUGCAGUUUUCUUCCUCUCCCAACCCAGCUCUCUCCUUUGAAUUACACUGCCUGGUUACUGACUCCAGAAAGAAGAGUCAAGUUUUGCAGUGAUUUUUUAUAGAGUGCUAACUGGAAAAAAAAAGAGAGAGAACAAAAUGAACUUCUGGAUAGCAGGAAUCACAGUUUUUCACUAUUCUUACCUAAUUUAAAGGAAUGAACCUCCACUUUCAAAUUGAGAGGGGCCACAACGCCCAACUUAAGACUUUCCUGUGUGCCAGCUCCAAGCCAGUGGGAUGGCUGGGAGACUGGAGCCACACCAAAGCUGGGGAUUUUGAACCAGAUUGCUCCUAUCAUCUUCUUAUCUCAGAACAAGAGCACCUGACGCUGCCUAAAACUUGCAAGAAAUGACCCAGUGAGGUGGAGCACUUUCUUGCAGUGACUUACAGAAUGUCCCAGCCAAAUCCAAAACUGUUUUUAAAAGUGUGGAUGUAGUACAAAUGGAACAGCCUGUAAUUAACUGUGGAUAUUUCACUGCUUCUAGAGUAGAACAUCUCUGCUUGGUCAAAUAGUUAAUCCAUUUUACUAUCAGAUAAUUUAAGAGGCUCUUCAUUGCUUUAUUAUUAUUUUUUUGUAAUUGUUUCCAGUAAACAGCCCUGCAUCUGUCAUUAUUUUAGAACAGGAAAAUAUUUAGUGACCCAGGUACUGAAAGGGCUGCCAUCAACACUGUAAUAGACUUCUGCAUCCACAUGAAAUGUUCCUGAAAUCAAAUGGAUUAGACUAACUGCGUUCCUUCAGAUCAGCAAACAGCCCAAAAAGCCAGGACCAUGGUCCAUAAUGGCACAAUACCCUUUGAAACUCCUUUUCCAGGACUCUAUCAGCAGUGCUACACACCGCAGGCAGUGUGCUACUGCCAUUAAACUCCUCUUCUUUAAGAGCUUGAAAAACGGAUUCAAACAAUUUUCCUUUCAUUGAACUGUUUUUAAAUCAAGUCACUUCUCUACAUUUUCAACUUGAAUAAAUAACAUUUUUCUGUUAUAUUAAGCUUUGGAAAUGAAGUCUGUAUAUGUUACUAUCAUUGUAAUUAUUUAAAAAAAAACAAACAAACAACAACAAUAAAACAGUAAGUAUGAUGCCUCCUUGUACUUCUUGGUUUGAGAUGGAAUCAGAAAUCCAAAAAGCAAAGCAUUUGCAGAAGCCCUUGGUUUGGAGAUCCCUGAACUCCUUCAAACCAGGAGCAGAUGAAAAGCUUACAAAAAAAAGUUGCUCUCCAGUGGCUCUCAGCCCAAUUACCAGGAACCAAGGCAGGCUGAAUACACUCAGGUCAAUAGAUGCAAAGAGGAAACAAUCAGGUACCUUUCAAAUAUGCAACCAAAGAGUUUAAGGUUUGCCUACUACUUGUCUAGACACAUGUUUCAGAAGGGAAUAAAAAAAAGAAAAAUACUCUGUCUGGGAAUUCUUACCCUGCAAUUGUUGAGAAGCAGAAAGCUGGGUAAUUCUCUUCAACUGAAUAAACAUAGAAGGGAGUCUGAGAGCAAUUUGGCUUCAGAGCAAAUAUUGUUACCAAAUUCUUUGCACCUGCAACAGUCAGGAAAAUGAUAAUAUAGCCUCUCCACGUCUUCCUAUCCCACGCUUUGGAAAGCAUCCACGCAGUACCUCAUAGUCUGCUACAGCAUAAACAUUUUCAAGGCAGAGCCUCAUGCAAGCCCCUGCUGGUAUGGCUGUAUUGCACUCUAUGGCCCCAGCCCACAACUCCCACUCUCAUCUUGGCCUCAAGUCAGCCUGACACUCUGACCCAAUCUAUUCACAGCUCUCCAGCAUGAUUCCUGCAGCACCACUGGCUGCCAUAGCCAGCAUUCAGCCUGUACUGCACCAGCUCUGCACAGUGCUGCCCAGCUGGGAGCAUGUUACAGGACUUACUAAAGUUUAAAAAUAAAAGUAAUGAAAAAGCUAAGAACUUUAGCUGUCAUAGCUUCUGGUACCACUCUUCCAGCUUAGUCACACAUACCAAUGGAAAAUACUUCUACUGGUAUAGAAUCAUGAAAUUACAGAAUGGUUUGGAUUGAAAGAAACCCUAAAGCCCACCCAUUCCCAAUCCCCAGCCACGGGUAGGGCUGCCCCCCACCAGCUCAGGCUGCCCAUGGUCCCAUCCAAACUAGCCUGGAGUGCCUCCAGGGAUGGGGCACCACAGCUUCUCCGGGCAGCACUGUCAGUGCUUCACCACCCUCUGGAUGAAGAAUUUUCCUCUUAACAUCUAACCAAAAUCCCCCAUUUUAGUUUGGAACCAUCCUCCUCCCCUUGUCCUGUCAGACUGUGCAAAAUGCCAGUCUCCUCCCUCCUGCAAUGAGGUCUGCUCAGAGCCUUCUCUUCUCCAGACUGAACAAGCCCAGCUCCCUCAGCCUAUCUUCAUAUAAGAGGUACUCCAGCCCUCUGAUCUUCUUCACAGCACUCCUCUGGAUCCUCUCCAACACUUCGACCUAUUUCCUGUGUUCGGGACUCCAGACCUGGAUCCAGAUGGAACCUCAAGAGCAGAGAGGGACAAUCCCU